rnacentral:ncRNA from 1 species
GAUUAUUGCGAUUACGGUUUCAAUAACAUGACUUAAUAAAACAAGAGAAUUCUAUUCUUUCACUUAAUUGUGUAAACACAUAAAUAUUG